rnacentral:tRNA from 1 species
CUAAGGAAUUUAACGGAAACCCACACAUUCGUACUUACUUUGUUUAGUUUUGAGAGGUCAAAAAUCUUUCAUAAUUAAUUUAAAUAUGCUCUUGGGGCCUUAGCUCAGCUGGGAGAGCGCCUGCCUUGCACGCAGGAGGUCAGCGGUUCGAUCCCGCUAGGCUCCAUUGCAACUAAUGUUGCAAAAAAAGUUGUUCUUUGAAAACUGGAUAAAGUUAAAAAUUGUAACUCAAGUAAGAAACCAGAAACACACCGAAAAGUUUUAAAAAUGAGUUUUUUAAGGUUCUCAUCGUAAGAUGAGUAUUGAACAUUAACGAUUAACCAUA